UGAUGAAGUCCUUAGGACCAUUUGAUUCGAUGUAGGAGGAUAUAUUGUUUAGUCCUUAAACCUUAAGUUUGCGACCAAAUGAUAUACUAUUAUUAGAAUGAUAGCUAUAUCAAGUAUAGAUCGUUGUGUGCCAUGUAUAUUGGUUGUCCUUUUAACCAAAAAGUCUAGAGAUACUAGCAUGGCAUGCAAGUGAGAUGUAGGAGUAUAUCUCACUGAACGUGACUAAUUAUCAAGCACUCUACUAUCAAGAGUAGCUUAUGAAGGAUAUAGGUAUAAAUAUUUCUUUGACCUG
rnacentral:lncRNA from 1 species